rnacentral:rRNA from 1 species
GACGAACGCUGGCGGCGUGCUUAACACAUGCAAGUCGAGCGGUAAGGCCCUUUCGGGGGUACACGAGCGGCGAACGGGUGAGUAACACGUGGGUGACCUGCCCUCAGCUCUGGGAUAAGCCUGGGAAACCGGGUCUAAUACUGGAUAUGACUCCAUGACGCAUGUUGUGGGGUGGAAAGCCUUGUGCGGCUGAGGAUGGGCCCGCGGCCUAUCAGCUUGUUGGUGGGGNGAUGGCCUACCAAGGCGACGACGGGUAGCCGGCCUGAGAGGGCGACCGGCCACACUGGGACUGAGACACGGCCAGACUCCUACGGGAGGCAGCAGUGGGGAAUCUUGCGCAAUGGGCGAAAGCCUGACGCAGCGACGCCGCGUGAGGGAUGACGGCCUGGU